UACGUAGGGGGCGAGCGUUGUCCGGAGUUACUGGGCGUAAAGGGCACGCAGGCGGUGCGGCGCGUUUCGCGUGACAGCGGAGGCUUAACUCUCCGAGGAUGCGAAAGACGGCGGCACUUGAGGGCCAGAGAGGGACACGGAAUUCCGGGUGGAGUGGUGAAAUGCGUUGAUAUCGAUAGGAACUCCGGUGGCGAAGGCGGCAUACUGGACCACAUCUGACGCUGAGGCGCGAAAGCCAGGGAGCAAACGGG
rnacentral:rRNA from 1 species